UCGGUGGCCAGGACCUGGGCAGUGUGAAUGCCACUGAAAAUCAGCUUGCGUGCUGCCUUCGGCAUGCGUGCCAUAGGUUCCCUACCCCUGUGCUAACCCAUUCUCUUCUGAUCACCAAACUGAAAGCACAGUAUUAGAGAACCUCCUGGGUUUGCAAUGGAAAGUAAGCCAAUCAAGCUUUUUUCAAAGUGAGCUGCUUCAUGGUCAUGGGAGCGCAGCCAAAUUUUGGUGAAUUUCUGAUGUAAAGCAAGUAAAACUGUGGACUUCAGCAAAAGCACCAAAAAUGACCACACAUACUAGCAGAUCUGCACAUUGUCUGGACAGGUGAUCAAUGCAGGGAGCGCAUUAAGAGGCUGAAGAGCGAGUAGCAGAAGACCAGGGACAAGAACCACACCUUGGGCAAUUGUUCAACAACAUGCCCACUUUAUGAUGACUUUGACAAGGUUCUGGGCACUGUGCCCAACACAGAGCCAACCAUAUUUCAUGAAGAUCUUGUCAGUCAGGAUGGUGCCCUCUUGGUCACUGAAUCCAGCAUGGAGACUGAUGGGAGCCAGCAUUAGGCUCCCAGUAAGGAGCAUGAAGUGACUCUUUUAAUGAAAUCAUCCCGAGAGCAGGCUGUGGAUCAGGAUCGACAGCAAAUUCUUGGUCCCUACUUAGAAGAACUGUUUGAUUCCCCCCACCCUCAAGGAACAGCCCUUUGCCGAAUCUAUAGAAAACUUGGUGGAGAAAGAAGCCACCCCAGAGCCCGGUAAGUGUAUGACUGAAAUGUACAGUUUAUUACAGUACUGGGAGGGAUUUCUGCUGUAAGAAGCAAUGCAAAAAUGAUAAGCCCCGGCUAGCAGUGUGCAGCCACCAAUGGCAGAUUGUAUCACAGUGCCUUGGUGUCUCCACUCCCACCCCUAUGUGGAGUUCAAAAUGACAACUUGGAAUUUCAAACUUCAUAAACAGCUGUUAUUUUAACUGUUAAGUCACAGAUGUUUGGUAGGGUCACUCAUGUUUGCCUUUCAGUAAUAAAUUUGCCACUCUGUAAUCACUCCUCCGGGGUCCAUGGAGCAGCCUUUAAACAGUGAACUGAGUGUGUUGUAUUUGGGAAACAGUAUUCUAUUUCCAAAUUUAGUCCAUUUCAGCUAGAGGUAAUCCAUGCAGUAUGUGGGUCACAAAAUCAUUUCUCCAAAGUAUGAGUGGGCUGCCAGUUUUUCCCCAGAACUAUGCCGGGUGCGGGGUGGAGGAAAGCUGCAAAUUUCAGAAUGUUCGCGUGCAGCAAUAACAGAGUAAGCCAUAUGUGAGCUAACACAGCAUCAUAUUAAUUCCCUCAUGGCUUAUGACCCAAUCUUGGCUGCUGAUAGCUGCAAACUUUUUGUGAAGCAGGACUCCAGAUAGUCAAUCACAUUGCAGGGAAAGGUGUAUUUUCUAGCCCCCCCCCCCCCUCCCUUGUAUAGCUGACUAGUCCACUCCAAGAACAGAUUUGCUGUUUGGUCACUAUACAUUUGAAUACUUCAGCCGCAUACACUGCAGGUUUCCCUCCAGGUGCUUGGAGUAACAUCUCCCUCUGCCAACAGGGUACAACAAGAACAGUUGUCUUUCACAAUAUGGAAGGCCUGAAAUGACAGAAAAAGCCUUUUGCAGCAAGGGCACUAUAUACACCAGCCUUCUGCCCCCCAUGGAAAUUAAGACAAUUUUAUGAAACACAAAAAAGGGAACUCGAUCUCUGGCUCAACGUACCUUCACAUUCCAAAAGGAAGUGUUGUUGUUCUUGAGAGGACAGACCAGCAAGUCCAGUACCAGAAGAAGAGUGACAAAAGACUGGAACAAUGGCAUGUUGACAGGCAGGAGGACAGGCUGAGGUUUGCUGUCCAGGUGGAGGACAGGUUUCAACUAGGGAGCAGGCACUUGCAAAGCAGUGCCUGGCAUAGGAAUGGCAGCUAAGAGAGGAGGACAAUGCUCAACAGAGAGAACUGUUUCAGCAACUCCUGUCCAUACUGGCUGAAGAGUAUUAUCUCCAGCUGCCUCUCCAACUCCAUGGCAUGAUGUUCCUGCAACAUACCCUCAGUCCAGCAGUAACUUAGAUAAUUCUGUCGGGUGGCCUAUGCAUUCAGGACUCGUGAGUGGCUGGGCAGGACAACUAAACCCUGUGCAGCCUUCCUUCACCAAUCCCCCCUCUGGAGGAAACCUCCACCACCGCUGCCACCUUCAACCCGUCUGGUGGAAAUCUUCCUCUCUCCCCUCCUCCCCCCACCCCCCCACCACCACCACCCACCCACACACACCACCACCAAGUGAGGGGGAAAUGUGUAAAGAAGGGACAGGAGAAUGUUGGGCCAGGGAACAUGUAGUGAUAGGGGGAUUAUGUCAUGUAUUAACUAUUUCCUGCCCUUUUGGGUGUGUGGUUUUGGAAUGGCAGCUGGCCUGCCCAACGCUGUGUGUUUUACUAUUUUAGAACAUGUUUACAAAUAAAGCAUGUUAUAUUUUCGA